rnacentral:rRNA from 1 species
CGGAGGGUGCAAGCGUUGUCCGGAUUUAUUGGGUUUAAAGGGUGCGUAGGCGGCCCUAUAAGUCAGUGGUGAAAGCCUCCAGCUCAACUGGAGAACUGCCAUUGAUACUGUAGGGCUUGAGUACAGACGAGGUUGGCGGAAUUGAUAGUGUAGCGGUGAAAUGCAUAGAUACUAUCAAGAACACCGAUUGCGUAGGCAGCUAACUAGGCUGUAACUGACGCUGAGGCACGAAAGCGUGGGGAGCGAACAGGAUUAGAUACCCUGGUAGUCCACGCCGUAAACGAUGAUUACUCGAUGUUGGCGAUACACAGUCAGCGUCUUAGCGAAAGCGUUAAGUAAUCCACCUGGGGAGUACGCCCGCAAGGGUG